CCUACGGGAGGCAGCAGUAGGGAAUAUUGGUCAAUGGACGAAAGUCUGAACCAGCCAUGCCGCGUGAAGGAUGAAGGCCCUAUGGGUCGUAAACUUCUUUUAUUAGGGAAGAAACCUUAGGAUGCGUCCUAAGCUGACGGUACCUAAUGAAUAAGGAUCGGCUAACUUCGUGCCAGCAGCCGCGGUAAGACGAAGGAUCCAAGCGUUGUCCGGAUUUACUGGGUUUAAAGGGUGCGUAGGCGGAAAAUUAAGUCAGUGGUGAAAGCCCGCAGCUCAACUGUGGAACUGCCAUUGAAACUGAUUUUCUUGAAUAUAGUUGAGGCAGAUGGAAUAUAACAUGUAGCGGUGAAAUGCUUAGAUAUGUUAUAGAACACCGAUUGCGAAGGCAGUCUGCUAAGCUAUUAUUGACGCUGAGGCACGAAAGCGUGGGGAGCGAACAGGAUUAGAUACCCUGGUAGUCCACGCCCUAAACGUUGAUUACUCGCUGUUGGCGAUAUACUGUCNGUGNGUAGACGAAGAGUUAAGUAAUCACCUGGAGUACGACCGCGAGUAGAACGUACGAAGAAGUAGACGGCGUGAGAGUGCCGACGGACGACGACGAGGGAGGAGGG
rnacentral:rRNA from 1 species